CCUACGGGGGGCAGCAGUGGGGAAUAUUGCACAAUGGGCGCAAGCCUGAUGCAGCCAUGCCGCGUGUGUGAAGAAGGCCUUCGGGUUGUAAAGCACUUUCAGCGGGGAGGAAGGCGGUGAGGUUAAUAACCUCAUCGAUUGGCGUUACCCGCAGAAGAAGCACCGGCUAACUCCGUGCCAGCAGCCGCGGUAAUACGGAGGGUGCAAGCGUUAAUCGGAAUUACUGGGCGUAAAGCGCACGCAGGCGGUCUGUCAAGUCGGAUGUGAAAUCCCCGGGCUCAACCUGGGAACUGCAUUCGAAACUGGCAGGCUAGAGUCUUGUAGAGGGGGGUAGAAUUCCAGGUGUAGCGGUGAAAUGCGUAGAGAUCUGGAGGAAUACCGGUGGCGAAGGCGGCCCCCUGGACAAAGACUGACGCUCAGGUGCGAAAGCGUGGGGAGCAAACAGGAUUAGAUACCCUAGUAGUC
rnacentral:rRNA from 1 species